rnacentral:rRNA from 1 species
GACGAACGCUGGCGGCGUGCUUAACACAUGCAAGUCGAACGGAAAGGCCCUGCUUUUGUGGGGUGCUCGAGUGGCGAACGGGUGAGUAACACGUGAGUAACCUGCCCUUGACUUUGGGAUAACUUCAGGAAACUGGGGCUAAUACCGGAUAGGAGCUCCUGCUGCAUGGUGGGGGUUGGAAAGUUUCGGCGGUUGGGGAUGGACUCGCGGCUUAUCAGCUUGUUGGUGGGGUAGUGGCUUACCAAGGCUUUGACGGGUAGCCGGCCUGAGGGGGUGACCGGCCACAUUGGGACGGAGAUCCGGCCCGGACUCCUACGGGAGGCAGCAGUGGGGAAUAUUGCACAAUGGGCGGAAGCCUGAUGCAGCAACGCCGCGUGCGGGAUGACGGCCUUCGGGUUGUAAACCGCUUUCGCCUGUGACGAAGCGUGAGUGACGGUAAUGGGUAAAGAAGCACCGGCUAACUACGUG